AAAACGACUCUCGGCAACGGAUAUCUCGGCUCUUGCAUCGAUGAAGAACGUAGCGAAAUGCGAUACUUGGUGUGAAUUGCAGAAUCCCGUGAACCAUCGAGUUUUUGAACGCAAGUUGCGCCCGAAGCCUUCGGGCUGAGGGCACGUCUGCCUGGGUGUCACGC
rnacentral:rRNA from 1 species